rnacentral:tRNA from 1 species
CCGGCCCGGCGCGGCCGGGCUUGGCGCGGCCGGCCUUGGCGUGGCUCGGCUUGGCGCGGCCGGGCUUGGCGUCGCUCGGCUUGGCGCGGCCGGGC